rnacentral:rRNA from 1 species
AUGGCGCUGGCGUCGGAGAUCACCGGGCUCAGGUGGAAGUCCAGGAGGGAGAUCAUGGACUGGCUCACCUCGCUCGUCGCAGAUCCUCCGUAUGGAGCCUUUGGAUUGACUUGUCCCGACCACCAUGAUGGUGGUAGCGCUGCAUCUAAGGGUAUCCUCGAUGUUGCUGGGGAAAACAAAGAAGGGUUCACAUGGAUAUGCAAACUGCCCAAUCUUGAUCAACGUCGGAAGCAUUACAAAUCCUUUUGGCGAGGGAGACUGAGAAUUUCGGUUCAUGAUUUUGUGUUCAUCAAUUGUGGAGGGAGAGAGAGCCAUGUUGCCUAUGUGGAAGACAUGUACGAAGAUGCCAGCGGGAAGAAGAUGGUGCUGGCACGAUGGUUCGAGGAACAAGACGUCCUGAAUCCAGAGCACUUUGAGAUGUUCAAGAAAAUACAUGGAGGGCGCAGUAGCUGGCAGCCCUUUGUAUGUCGUCGGCAGAUCGAGGAUAACACCGUCGGGCCCUUUGACAUCGCGCAGCAGCUGCAAGGAUAUGCAAACCAGGAGAUUGUAAAGGCAAUUGUGGUGCAGGCCAAGCCACCUAAUAACAACAAAGGUAAAGCUGCCAUUACUGGCCUGGCCGCCAAGAACCAUGCUGGUUCUUCCAGUGCUGCCAUUAUCAGUGACAAAGCCAUCGCAACUGCUUCCAACUCUGUUAUCGUUGACAAAACCAUGGAGAAGCAGAAGGAGAUGUCCCCUCCAUGCAGCGUAACUCCUUCCAGCUCUGUUAUUGGUGACAAAACCAUGAAGCAGAAGCCCCCUCCAUGCAGUGCAACUCCUUCCAGCUCUGUUAUGGGUGACAAACCCAUGGAGAAGCUGAAGCGGAAGCCCCCUCCAUGCAGCGCAACUCCUUCAAGCGUUGUUAUUGGUGAGAAAACCAUGGAGAAGCAGAAGCCCCCUCCAUGCAGCGCAACUGCUUCCAGCACUGCUAUCGGUGACAAAAUCAUGGAGAAGCAGAAGCAGGAGCCCCCCGCAUGCAGCGCAACUCCUUCCAGUUCCAGCUCUGUUAUGGGUGACAAAGCCAUGGAGAAGCAGAAGGAGAAGGAGAUGCCCCCUCCAUGCAGCGCAACUCCACACAGUGUCACCAUUGGCCAGACCGUCGGAAGCAGUGUCGUUCCCCGCGGCGUGGUGAACUUCAGACCCCCGUGCAGAAUCAGCCGCCCCCGAGUGCCCGACAGCCGUCUUGAAGCCCUGAGCCAAGACAGCAGCGUGAGGGGCUGUUGGUUCAAAUGCGUGGUACUCAAGAGGAACGAGCAAAAUGACAAGAUCUGGGUGCGGUACCAAGACCUUCGAAAACCCGAGGGCAAAGGACAGCUCAAGGAAUGGCUCAAAGUUGCAAGAAUUGCGGAGCCUGGCCGCCUGGGCAUUCGCCUUGCCAAAAGGCCCAUGCUCCGCCCGCAGCUCCCAUCACGUUACAGGAAGAUCGAUUCUGCGGUGGAUGUCGGGGUCAUCGUCGACGCGUGGCUCAACGGCGGAUGGUGGGAGGGGAUCGUGCUGCAGCCGGAGACUGCCGGCCACGUCCAAGUUUAUCUCCAAGGGGAGGGGAGACUCGUGGAGUUCAAAGUGGACGCUCUGCACAAGUCGUUUGAGUGGCGUGAGGAGCAGUGGAUGCCUCUAGAUGCAAGAACAGAUGUUGCAGCCAAGAUAACCCUUGACCUGAAGAAGCAGAAGGCGGCGGCCGCGGCCGCGGCAAGCCCAACAGGACUGCUGCUGCAACCUCGGGAGGAUCCUGGAACUGCAAACUCUGUUCCUCCACGGAAGAGGAUCCUAGAACUGGGUCACCCUUCCGAGGAAGAAAGGCUGCUGCAGGAUAGAAAGGGCAAGGGUCCUGCUGAUGUACCUGCCAAGACAGUUCCAGACAAGGCAAGCCUGCAGCAGUGA